UUACAUAUCUUGCCUCUUUGUACUAUUGUUGUAGACGCCUUAUAUGUUGUAGGUAUAUGGUGGGUCUGGACACGCACCGGGCGGGCUUCCGCCGGGUUCCGGGGCGUGACAGUUGGGGAUAGAGAUAGAGAUAGAGAUAGAGGUAGAGAAAGAGAGAUCGAUUUGAGAGUAGAGGAGCCGGAAGAAGAGUUUAGAGAAGAAUUGGGAGGAGAAGGGUUUAGUGGAGAAGUUUGGGGAAGAAGAUCUAUUAAUUU
rnacentral:lncRNA from 1 species